rnacentral:rRNA from 1 species
CGACGUAGGUAACCUGCCUGGUAGCGGGGGAUAACUAUUGGAAACGAUAGCUAAUACCGCAUAAUAUUAAUUAUUGCAUGAUAAUUAAUUUGAAAGGUGCAAUUGCACCACUACCAGAUGGACCUGCGUUGUAUUAGCUAGUAGGUGAGGUAACGGCUCACCUAGGCGACGAUACAUAGCCGACCUGAGAGGGUGAUCGGCCACACUGGGACUGAGACACGGCCCAG